rnacentral:lncRNA from 1 species
AGUAGGUUGAUUUGAUGAUUAGAUAUAUAUAUGUGAGAUUAAUUUGAUUAAUCUAAUUAACUUCUGCUGUAAUUUAUUCAAAAAAGUUUCAAAAUAUAUGCAUGAAAUCGCCUAUAUUUUUUAACAGUAGUAUCAGAGCCUAGGUUCAUUAUGAUAUGAUUUAUAUGUAUAUUAAAUAUAAAUUUUAAUUUUAUUUAGAUCUGAUAUAUGAUAU